rnacentral:rRNA from 1 species
AACGAACGCUGGCGGCAGGCCUAACACAUGCAAGUCGAGCGCGCCCUUCGGGGUGAGCGGCGGACGGGUGAGUAACGCGUGGGAACGUGCCCUUCUCUGCGGAAUAGCCUCGGGAAACUGAGAGUAAUACCGCAUACGCCCUUUGGGGGAAAGAUUUAUCGGAGAAGGAUCGGCCCGCGUUGGAUUAGGUAGUUGGUGGGGUAAUGGCCCACCAAGCCGACGAUCCAUAGCUGGUUUGAGAGGAUGAUCAGCCACACUGGGACUGAGACACGGCCCAGACUCCUACGGGAGGCAGCAGUGGGGGAUCUUAGACAAUGGGGGCAACCAUGAUCUAGCCAUGCCGCGUGAGUGAUGAAGGCCUUAGGGUUGUAAAGCUCUUUCAGCUGGGAAGAUAAUGACGGUACCAGCAGAAGAAGCCCCGGCUAACUCCGUG